GAUCCUGGCUCAGGAUGAACGCUAGCUACAGGCUUAACACAUGCAAGUCGAGGGGAAACGAUAUUGGAAGCUUGCUUCCGAUAGGCGUCGACCGGCGCACGGGUGAGUAACGCGUAUCCAACCUGCCCACCACUUGGGGAUAACCUUGCGAAGGUAAGACUAAUACCCAAUGAUAUCUCUAGAAGACAUCUGAAAGAGAUUAAAAGAUUUAUCGGUGAUGGAGUGGGAUGCGU
rnacentral:rRNA from 1 species